GCCUGUAGAGCGGCUCAGGCCUUGAUGAUUUGAGCUUGUGUUUUCUUUCUGUGUCAGCACACUGUGGGGUUGAAUAGAAGAUGCUUGCCUUUUAAAAAAUGCGAUAAUUUGACAUACGAAAUGGAAAUGGCUGAGUGUUGUCAUUUUACAAUUGUGGCUUAUCAGAAUAAUUUAAAAAUAUAAAUUAAGCGUUUCAGAAGCCAUGCCGUGUGGCCUGCUCUGCUCUCAUUAAUAGCCGAGGCUUCGAUUGUUAAAGGCAUUUUGAGAUGGGAGAGUCAGCUGCUUUGUGCAAGAAAAAAUGGAAAAGCUUCCUUUUAAUUUUCUCAUCAAAGCAGAACCAUAGUCACAAAGUCAUUUUGGGAAGGGCAUUUUUAUUAAAAGGAUUUGAAAAGCUUUACCCUGGAUGGAGAGUGUAUCUCAUUUGAUGAGAGUGGUUUUCUCUCCUAGCUUAGUGGCUCCAUCACUGAAAGUCUGGGCAUUUCUCCUGUGUUACUUGUUUACCUAAUCAGAUUUCCACAUGAAUUCUGGUUUUCAUGGCCAAAGAGGGGAUGUCACGAUCCAUGCGUGCGUGUGACCAGGAGGAAGGGAGGGAAGGCUGUGUGGCCUGAGUGUCCUCUGGGUUCCUCUUGGCAGGGCCUUUUUCUCUCCCCAGCAUCCUCAUGAACUGGAGAUGAUGCUGGGGAGAGAAUUGGCUUACAGAUUUCUUCCCAAAGAAAUGAUGUUCAGGAUGGCCCGGAUAGGAGUGUGCAGCCCCCAGCCUAGGAGCUCUGGCCGACUGUCCCUUAUAGGAGAGGACUCAGGUGUCACGUCAGAGCUUGCAGGUUCCCGCCCAGCCCAGUCUGUUACAGAAACCGUUGU
rnacentral:lncRNA from 1 species